rnacentral:ncRNA from 2 species
UGAAUCCGCGCGGGAGAGUUCCGGGUACGUGUGCCCGGACGCCGAAGGAGCAAGUCCCUCCCUUGAAUCUCUCAGGCCCCGUUACCGCGCGGGCGAG